GACAGGGGAUGCAAGCGUUAUCCGGAAUGAUUGGGCGUAAAGCGUCUGUAGGUGGCUUUUUAAGUUCGCCGUCAAAUCCCAGGGCUCAACCCUGGACAGGUGGUGGAAACUACCAAGCUAGAGUACGGUAGGGGCAGAGGGAAUUUCCGGUGGAGCGAUGAAAUGUGUAGAGAUCGGAAGGAACACCCAAGGCGAAAGCACUCUGCUGGGCCGACACUGACACUGAGGCGCGAAAGCCAGGGGAGCGAACGGG
rnacentral:rRNA from 1 species